CAAGUCGAACGAGAAAGUCCCCUUCGGGGGAUGAGUAAAGUGGCGCACGGGUGAGUAACACGUAGGUAAUCUACCUUCGGGUGGGGAAUAACCCAGGGAAACUUGGGCUAACACCGCAUAAUGCAGCGGCACCACAUGGUGACAGUUGUUAAAGCGGGGGAUUUUAGGACCUCGCGCCUGAAGAGGAGCCUGCGGCGGAUUAGCUAGUUGGUAGGGUAACGGCUUACCAAGGCGACGAUCCGUAACCGGCCUGAGAGGGCGGUCGGUCACACUGACACUGACAUACGGGUCAGACUCCUACGGGAGGCAGCAGUCGGGAAUUUUGGGCAAUGGGCGAAAGCCUGACCCAGCAACGCCGCGUGAAGGAUGAAAUCCCUCGGGAUGUAAACUUCGCAAGAAUAGGAAGAAUUAGUAGGGGCUAAUACCCCCUAUGAUGACGGUACUAUUUGUAAGCUCCGGCUAACUCCGUGCCAGCAGCCGCGGUAAUACGGGGGGAGCAAGCGUUGUUCGGAUUUACUGGGCGUAAAGGGCGCGUAGGCGGUAGCACAAGUCAGUUGUGAAAUCUCCGGGCUUAACUCGGAAAGGUCAACUGAUACUGUGCGACUAGAGUGCAGAAGGGGCAACUGGAAUUCUCGGUGUAGCGGUGGAAUGCGUAGAUAUCGAGAGGAACACCUGCGGCGAAGGCGGGUUGCUGGGCUGACACUGACGCUGAGGCGCGAAAGCCAGGGGAGCGAACGGGAUUAGAUACCCCGGUAGUCCUGGCCUUAAACGAUGGAUGCUUGGUGUCUGGAGUUUUAUAGUCUCCGGGUGCCGCAGCUAACGCGUUAAGCAUCCCGCCUGGGGAGUACGGUCGCAAGACUGAAACUCAAAGGAAUUGACGGG
rnacentral:rRNA from 1 species